GUAGGCUGUCAUUGUAAAUAAGAAUUUGUUCUUAACUGACUUACCUAGUCAAAGGUUAAAUAAAAAGUCUCUAGAUAAGCACCACAAUGUGGUUAAGAGCUUCGAGAAGCACCAUAAUUAAACUUGACUAACCCCAUAUGCUGCCAGUGUAGUUGUCCGUGGAACCGAAUAGAUUGAAAUGUUCAUUUUCAUGUGUCAGAACAAUCAGAAUACCCUUUUGCUGACAGGCCUACUCAGAGCUAUCUCCUGUUAUGUGUAUGUGAUGACUUUCAUUGGGUGGGAUGGAGUUUAAUUGGGACAGGAGGAAGUGAACUAUUAGCUGAUCCUCUGCUGGGAAACUGAAACUUAUAUUUCACCCUGAGUUCCCUUUUUAUCUUCCCUGUGUUACAAUCCUCCUAAUGGAUGUAGGAGCUAUAUAAAUAGGAUGACUAGAAUGGACAAAUCCCCUCAGACCACAACAAUGUGAAAGUACACUUAAGGGAAUGUCCGUUCCAGUAAUUAUCUUUCUGUGUUUAAACUUGGAAUCUGCCUUCUAUGUCCUGUAUGACUAUCAUUGGCCAAUGCUGUAGUGUAUUGAUGUGGACAAUAAUUACACUUAAAUGUUACACCAUCCAUCUGUUGCAUAUUUUAUCAAAUAAAUCAAUUAUAUUUUGAUCAGUA